rnacentral:tRNA from 1 species
UAAAAGGUAGUGUAUGGGUGCACUUGGAGUUUUGAUCUCUAAAGGGUAGGUUCGAGUCCUAUUUUUUUAGAGGAG